rnacentral:tRNA from 1 species
GGGCCGGUAGCUCAGCUUGGUUAGAGCGUUCGGCUGAUAACCGAAAGGUCGAGAGUUCAAGUCUCUCCCGGCCCA